UACGGGGGGGGCAAGCGUUGUUCGGAAUUACUGGGCGUAAAGGGCGCGUAGGCGGCCUUCUAAGUCGGACGUGAAAUCCCUCGGCUUAACCGAGGAACUGCGUCCGAUACUGAAAGGCUUGAAUCCGGGAGAGGGAUGUGGAAUUCCAGGUGUAGCGGUGAAAUGCGUAGAUAUCUGGAGGAACACCAGCGGCGAAGGCGGCGCUCUGGGCCGGAACUGACGCUGAGGAGCGAAAGCGUGGGUAGCAAACAGG
rnacentral:rRNA from 1 species